UACAGAGGGUGCGAGCGUUAAUCGGAAUUACUGGGCGUAAAGCGCAUGUAGGCGGCUUGGUAUGUCGGGUGUGAAAUCCCCGGGCUCAACCUGGGAACUGCAUCCGAAACUGCCUUGCUCGAGUAUGGGAGAGGGAAGUGGAAUUUCCGGUGUAGCGGUGAAAUGCGUAGAUAUCGGAAGGAACAUCAGUGGCGAAGGCGACUUCCUGGACCAAUACUGACGCUCAGGUGCGAAAGCGUGGGGAGCAAACAGG
rnacentral:rRNA from 1 species